rnacentral:rRNA from 1 species
GUACGAGAGUUUUUAACUCAAGUGGCGGACGGGUGAGUAACACGUAAGAAUUUGCCUUUAGGAGGGGGAUAACAACUGGAAACGGUUGCUAAUACCCCAUAUGCUUUCGAGUGAAAUGGGUUUCCGCCUAAAGAGAAGCUUGCGGCUGAUUAGCUUGUUGGUGAGGUAAUGGCUCACCAAGGCGACGAUCAGUAUCUGGUUUGAGAGGAUGAUCAGACACACUGGAACUGAGACACGGUCCAGACUCCUACGGGAGGCAGCAGUGGGGAAUUUUCCGCAAUGGGCGAAAGCCUGACGGAGCAAUACCGCGUGAGGGAUGACGGCCUAUGGGUUGUAAACCUCUUUUUUCAGGGAGGAAUCAAUGACGUGUACCUGAAGAAUAAGCAUCGGCUAACUCCGUGCCAGCAGCCGCGGUAAGACGGAGGAUGCAAGUGUUAUCCGGGAUCACUGGGCGUAAAGCGUCUGUAGGUGGUCAAAUAAGUCAACUGUUAAAUCUUGAGGCUCAACCUCAAAAUCGCAGUCGAAACUAUUAGACUAGAGUAUAGUAGGGGUAAAGGGAAUUUCCAGUGGAGCGGUGAAAUGCGUAGAGAUUGGAAGGAACACCGAUGGCGAAGGCACUUUACUGGGCUAUUACUAACACUCAGAGACGAAAGCUAGGGUAGCAAAUGGGAUUAGAUACCCCAGUAGUCCUAGCUGUAAACAAUGGAUACUAGAUGUUGAACAGAUCGACCUGUGCAGUAUCAAAGCUAACGCGUUAAGUAUCCCGCCUGGGAAGUAUGCUCGCAAGAGUGAAACUCAAAGGAAUU